rnacentral:rRNA from 1 species
AUUGAACGCUGGCGGCAUGCCUUACACAUGCAAGUCGAACGGCAGCACGGGUGCUUGCACCUGGUGGCGAGUGGCGAACGGGUGAGUAAUACAUCGGAACGUACCUUAUCGUGGGGGAUAACGCAGCGAAAGUUGCGCUAAUACCGCAUACGCCCUGAGGGGGAAAGCGGGGGACCGUAAGGCCUCGCGCGAUUAGAGCGGCCGAUGUCUGAUUAGCUUGUUGGUGAGGUAAAAGCUCACCAAGGCGAUGAUCAGUAGCUGGUCUGAGAGGACGAUCAGCCACACUGGGACUGAGACACGGCCCAGACUCCUACGGGAGGCAGCAGUGGGGAAUUUUGGACAAUGGGGGCAACCCUGAUCCAGCAAUGCCGCGUGAGUGAAGAAGGCCUUCGGGUUGUAAAGCUCUUUUGUCAGGGAAGAAACAGCAGCUCUAACACAGACUGCGAAUGACGGUACCUGAAGAAUAAGCACCGGCUAACUACGUGCCAGCAGCCGCGGUAAUACGUAGGGUGCGAGCGUUAAUCGGAAUUACUGGGCGUAAAGCGUGCGCAGGCGGUUAUACAAGACAGGCGUGAAAUCCCCGGGCUUAACCUGGGAAUGGCGUCUGUGACUGUAUAGCUAGAGUGUGUCAGAGGGGGGUGGAAUUCCACGUGUAGCAGUGAAAUGCGUAGAUAUGUGGAGGAACACCAAUGGCGAAGGCAGC